rnacentral:rRNA from 1 species
CAGCAGCCGCGGUAAUACAGAGGGUGCGAGCGUUAAUCGGAUUUACUGGGCGUAAAGCGUGCGUAGGCGGCUAAUUGAGUCGGAUGUGAAAUCCCCGAGCUUAACUUGGGAAUUGCAUUCGAUACUGGUUAGCUAGAGUGUGGGAGAGGAUGGUAGAAUUCCAGGUGUAGCGGUGAAAUGCGUAGAGAUCUGGAGGAAUACCGAUGGCGAAGGCAGCCAUCUGGCCUAACACUGACGCUGAGGUACGAAAGCAUGGGGAGCAAACAGGAUUAGAGACCCCUGUAGUCCCUGUCUCUUAUAC